rnacentral:misc_RNA from 1 species
GAUGAAGAACGCAGCGAAAUGCGAUAAGUAAUGUGAAUUGCAGAAUUCAGUGAAUCAUCGAAUCUUUGAACGCACAUUGCGCCCCCUGGUAUUCCGGGGGGCAUGCCUGUCCGAGCGUCAUUGCUGCCCUCAAGCACGGCUUGUGUGUUGGGCCCCGUCCUCCGAUCCCGGGGGACGGGCCCGAAAGGCAGCGGCGGCACCGCGUCCGGUCCUCGAGCGUAUGGGGCUUUGUCACCCGCUCUGUAGGCCCGGCCGGCGCUUGCCGAUCAACCCAAAUUUUUAUCCAGGUUGACCUCGGAUCAGGUAGGGAUACCCGCUGAACUUAAGCAUAUCAAUAAGCGGAGA